ACGCAUCCUCCCUGAGCAGCGGCUGGAAAACUCUUGGGAGUUUCCCACUCUUCAGUGUUGAUUUCUUAAUAUGUGUAAUUCAGCGGCUAAAUCCAGCAAGGUCUGGUUUGUGAUAAAGCGUUGAAUUUACUGUUAACGUAAUGGAGUUGUCCAUGACAACUUGGAGAAAGAAACCCCAAGGCCAUGUCCUUCUCUGUGUGAGUUUGUAUUAACAUCGGUGUAUUCCCUCAUCGCCUUCCUUUUCCUCUUUCUGCAUCCUUUUGCCUAUCUAAGUCCUCCCCUCCUCUAGACUAGGUGACUCUUCCUUGCUCCUUCUGGACUUCAGGAAAGCACAGAGCCAGAUAAUUAACUGCAGGGAAUAACAGUGAUUUCAUUCCAAAGCCUUGGCCAAGCUGGCAGAGGCACUGGAAUAGCUGCAUGGGUUGGCUCUUCAGCUGCUGCAACACCCAGAAGUCACCCUUAUGUAAGCAAGGCCAGCAGAGCAGACUUCAAUCCUGGAGCGAGAUGAUGUCAAAGAUAGGAGAGGGAAGAAGUUUUGAAUACUUCUGGUGGCCUAAACGCCAGCACGGAUUAACGCUGGUUUGUAUAAACCUGGUGCUUGCAAGUUUAUUAGAAGGUGUUUGGUGCCACAGGCUGUGCUGGAGACACUUCUGUAUUCAUGCCUGGCUGGAAGGGCUCUUGCGCCUGAAGCACAGAGGAGAGGUGGAAAGCUGGGAUCUGCUGCAAGCCACCAACCCAACCCUUCUGGUUGGUAAGAUUCAGUCAAAGAGGAUAUAAAGAACCCACGCUUCCCUUGCUCAGCACUCUGGCCAUGUAAGUGGGCCAAGAUGGUUUCCCUGCUCUCCCUGGUGAGGCAUAGCUGUGGAAUCAAGGGUGGCACCAGCUGCACACCCUGCACAGUCACAUGCUGCAGGGGCCUGCAAGGCUGCCCCAUGACUCCGGAAUGAUUUAUGUGUUUUCCAUGAUCCUCCUUUUCAGAUGCAGUUGCCAAGCCUGCACAGCACUGUUCAGCUGGGAGGAGGCUAAUACACUCAGUGCAUCUGCCUCCAGACUUUACACACUGCGAGAAGCUUUCACAAAUUAAAGGACUUUUGUUGUCUGCCUGCCUUGGAAAUACUCUCCAAGAUCCAGGUUCUGGAGCUCUUUCCCAGGCUGCUGAAGCAGCAGGAUCUGCUUCUUUCACAUUCUCCUGUGGUCCUGUUGCAGUCAGACAGAAUACAAAGGAAAAUCCACUGCUUAAUUUUUGAGGGGAAGCUUCUUCACAUAUUGAAACCCAUCCCGCACAUGUCAGCCCCAACAGAUUCUGGAUGUGAACCAGGGGAACUCAGAGCCGUCCCCGUCCCCAGAUGCCUGCACACCUCCUGGGGGAGCACAACCAGCAGGGCUGGAAGUCCUGGAGAACAGAUCCCUGACCUCAUCCUGUUUUCUGGAGUCCAAGUAACCAUUUACCUUUGCAAGGGGAGAAUAACAAUGUUUACGGAAUGGUGUGGGGAUGCAAUGUGCCUGUUUGCUUGGAUUUUGGUGGAGCCUUUCCUUGUGCUCACACAAACAUGAUUGGGAAAGGCCUCAGGGAGCAGCUUUACUUACAGUCUGACCCAGAGGAGAUGUCUGUAAUUAAGCACAUAUAUACAUGUAUCAUGUAGGUUUGACUCUGAUAUGAGCAUACAUAGCCAAUACAUUAGAGGACUUUUCUAGACCAUAAGACAAUGUUUGUUUUAAAAUCCUUUAUGACACAUAUUAAUGCUGACCAUUGUAGAGCACUCUGCUGCAGAGGGAUCAAUGGCCUUCACACCACAGCUAGUUACAGCAAAUGGAUCAUACCAAAUCCAGGGCACUUAAGAGCCCAGUAUUGGUCUCUGCAAUUUGUAUAAAUCAGAAUGCCCUCUGCAUUUCCUGAAGGACAGGGCCAUGAGUACAGACAGAAACUACAAUUUAUUCUUCAAACAAUUGUUUUUUUUUCCUUAAAUAAAGUGUUUGCAAUUGAUUUUCAUCUUUCUAUA